rnacentral:rRNA from 1 species
UGGGGAAUAUUGCACAAUGGGCGAAAGCCUGAUGCAGCAACGCCGCGUGAGGGACGACGGCCUUCGGGUUGUAAACCUCUUUUNGCAAGGAAGAAGCGAAAGUACGGUACUUGCAGAAAAAGCGCCGGCUAACUACGUGCCAGCAGCCGCGGUAAUACGUAGGGCGCAAGCGUUAUCCGGAAUUAUUGGGCGUAAAGAGCUCGUAGGCGGUUUGUCGCGUCUGCUGUGAAAACCCGAGGCUCAACCUCGGGCCUGCAGUGGGUACGGGCAGACUAGAGUGCGGUAGGGGAGAUUGGAACUCCUGGUGUAGCGGUGGAAUGCGCAGAUAUCAGGAAGAACACCGAUGGCGAAGGCAGAUCUCUGGGCCGUAACUGACGCUGAGGAGCG